CUACGGGGGGCUGCAGUGAGGAAUAUUGCACAAUGGGGGGAACCCUGAUGCAGCAACGCCGCGUGGAGGAUGACGCAUUUCGGUGUGUAAACUCCUUUUAUAUGUCAAGAAAAUGACGGUAGCAUAUGAAUAAGCACCGGCUAACUCCGUGCCAGCAGCCGCGGUAAUACGGAGGGUGCAAGCGUUACUCGGAAUCACUGGGCGUAAAGGACGCGUAGGCGGGUUGGAAAGUCAGGUGUGAAAUCCUACAGCUUAACUGUAGAACUGCACUUGAAACUGGUAACCUAGAGUAUGGGAGGGGGAGAUGGAAUUAGUGGUGUAGGGGUAAAAUCCGUAGAUAUCACUAGGAAUACCUAAAGCGAAGGCGAUCUCCUGGAACAUAACUGACGCUAAGGCGUGAAAGCGUGGGGAGCAAACAGGAUUAGAUACCCGGGUAGUC
rnacentral:rRNA from 1 species